GAUGAACGCUAGCGGAAGGCAUAAUACAUGCAAGUCGAACGGAUGUAGCAAUACAUUAGUGGCGCACGGGUGCGUAACGCGUAUGCAACCUACCUUCAUCAGGGGGAUAACUACCCGAAAGGGUGGCUAACACCGCAUAAUAAUAUUGAGUGGCAUCACUUGAUAUUUAAAUCUGAGGAGGAUGAAGAUGGGCAUGCGUCUGAUUAGCUAGUUGGUGUGGUAACGGCGCACCAAGGCGACGAUCAGUAGGGGAACUGAGAGGUUGGUCCCCCACACUGGCGCUGAGAUACGGGCCAGACUCCUACGGGAGGCAGCAGUAGGGAAUAUGGGUCAAUGGUGGGAACACUGAACCAGCCAUGCCGCGUGCAGGAAGAAGGGUCUCUGACUUGUAAACUGCUUUAGCAAGGGAAGAAAAAGCUCAUGCGUGAGAAAUUGACGGUACCUUGAGAAUAAGCACCGGCUUACUACGUGCCAGCCGCCGCAGUAACAC
rnacentral:rRNA from 1 species